rnacentral:rRNA from 1 species
UACCAGCACCCCGAGUGUUCGGGACGAUUAUUGGGCCUAAAGCAUCCGUAGCCGGUUCUACAAGUCUUCCGUUAAAUCCACCUGCUUAACAGAUGGGCUGCGGAGGAUACUAUAGAGCUAGGAGGCGGGAGAGGCAAGCGGUACUCAGUGGGUAGGGGUAAAAUCCGUUGAUCCAUUGAAGACCACCAGUGGCGAAGGCGGCUUGCCAGAAUGCGCUCGACGGUGAGGGAUGAAAGCUGGGGGAGCAAACCGG